UACAGAGACUGCAAGCGUUAUUCGGAUUCACUGGGCGUAAAGGGUGCGCAGGCGGUUGGGUGUGUCAGAUGUGAAAUCCCGAGGCUCAACCUCGGAACUGCGUCUGAAACUACUCGACUAGAGUACUGGAGAGGGUAACGGAAUUCACGGUGUAGCAGUGAAAUGCGUAGAUAUCGUGAGGAACACCAGAGGCGAAGGCGGUUACCUGGACAGUUACUGACGCUCAGGCACGAAAGCAUGGGGAGCAAAAGGGAUUAGAUACCCCUGUAGUCCAUGCCCUAAACGGUGCACACUAGGUCUUAGCGGAUUCGACCCCACUAGGGCCCAAGCUAACGCGUUAAGUGUGCCGCCUGAGGACUACGGUCGCAAGACUA
rnacentral:rRNA from 1 species